rnacentral:tRNA from 1 species
GGGCGUAGUAGAGGGCCGCCGGGUGUCCCUGGGCCUGCUCGUGGCCGGUCGGCGGGGGCGGUUCGAUGUCGUCCCACGCGCG